GCUAGCAUGGCCGAGUGGUCCAAGGCGUUGGUCUUAAGAUCCAAUCUCGAAAGAGGCGUGAGUUCGAACCUCACUGCUAGCA